rnacentral:rRNA from 1 species
GACGAACGCUGGCGGCGUGCUUAACACAUGCAAGUCGAACGGAAAGGCCCUUCGGGGUACUCGAGUGGCGAACGGGUGCGUAACACGUGGGUGAUCUGCCCUGCACUUUGGGAUAAGCCUGGGAAACUGGGUCUAAUACCGAAUAUGAUCAUCGGCUUCAUGGUCGGUGGUGGAAAGCUUUUGCGGUGUGGGAUGGGCCCGCGGCCUAUCAGCUUGUUGGUGGGGUAAUGGCCUACCAAGGCGACGACGGGUAGCCGGCCUGAGAGGGUGACCGGCCACACUGGGACUGAGAUACGGCCCAGACUCCUACGGGAGGCAGCAGUGGGGAAUAUUGCACAAUGGGCGCAAGCCUGAUGCAGCGACGCCGCGUGAGGGAUGACGGCCUUCGGGUUGUAAACCUCUUUCAGCACAGACGAAGCGCAAGUGACGGUAUGUGCAGAAGAAGGACCGGCCAACUACGUG